rnacentral:lncRNA from 1 species
GUGGUUGUUCUUAUUCAAUUUCAUAUCGUUGCAGGUGUGUAAGUUUGCAAAUGCAUAACGCCAGAUGUUCGUACUACUGAAGUUGAGAUGAUCGCAGUCUAUGAAGAGUACGUGGGACACUCUGAUUUACGUCGUGACGGUUGUACUAUUCUACAGCUUUGAUUGUUAGAGAGCGAACCGACGAAUCUUUGAAAUGAACUUCGGGAGAGAGAACUCGUAAUCUUGUUUGGGGCUGUGUUGAUGAAUGUGAGUGAGAUCAAAUGAUUAUGUAGAUGAAGAAGAUGUAGAAAGGAAAUCCAAUGUUCAAGAAAAGAAGAUGGAGAAAAAAAUAGAAGAACCUAUGAAAUCUUGUUAGGAACUCAUGAUCUUCAUUAAUUUUGUUGAGAUUCAUUGGAAAAAAAAAGAAAAAAAUGAUGAAGGUGGAGAACACAACGAUAAUGAAAGAGAAAAGUAAGAAAAAAAUGUUUAAGUUUAACAAAGAUUUUGGCUGUGAUUUUUCUUUCCAUGCAGCUCUCGUG